CUUGUUGCGCACCAAGGGGCAGCGGAUUUAUGUACCUAAAUGGGAGAGGUUGCGCAAAAGUAUCAUUAAGGGGUGCCAUGACACCCGCUGGGCAGGUCAUCCAGGUCAAAAACGCACUCAAGCUUUGAUAGAGGCUAACUACUAUUGGCCUCGCAUGCGGGACGAGACGCACUCAAGCAUUGAUAGAGGCUAACUACUAUUGGCCUCGCAUGCAGGAUGACAUAGAGUUAUACGUCAAGACUUGUCUUGUAUGCCAGCAAGACAAGGUGGAACAACAGGCACCCGCAGGACUUCUGGAGCCUUUACCCAUCCACAACGUCCAUGGGAAAGCGUCAGCAUGGACUUUAUCUCUGCUUUGCCCACAUCCGAUGGCAAAGGCAGCAUCAUGGUUGUGGUGGAUCGGUUCGGAGCCUUUACCCAUUCUGCAGCGUCCAUGGGAGAGCGUCAGCAUGGACUUUAUCUCUCCUUUGCCCACAUCCGAUGGCAAAGGUAUCAUCAUGGUUGUGGUGGAUCGGUUCUCGAAGUAUGCAUCCUUCAUGGCUGCCACGAAGGAUUGC
rnacentral:lncRNA from 1 species